CCCCGAAGUACAGCUAUGCCACGAUCAGCUGGGCAAGACCACAUUGCAGAGUGGAUGGUAAGGAGACAGAGGCAGGAGCCUCUACAGUGGCACCAAUUCCCGCAACACGAUCCGGCUGUGAGGCGAGCGUUCUCUGGGCCACAGCACAUCAAGGAACAUCCCCACGUCUGCCGCUCACACCCUUGGGAAGCUCUUACUCAGCGAGCACUGCAAUAGCCUGUUAAUGAGCCCCGAAAUCAAGCUCAGGCCACUGAAUGAAAAGGGACUAGGGAUUGU